AUUGAACGCUGGCGGCAGGCCUAACACAUGCAAGUCGAGCGGAUGAAGGGAGCUUGCUCCUGGAUUCAGCGGCGGACGGGUGAGUAAUGCCCAGGAAUCUGCCUGGUAGUGGGGGAUAACGUCCGGAAACGGGCGCUAAUACCGCAUACGUCCUGAGGGAGAAAGUGGGAGAUCUUCGGACCUCACGCUAUCAGAUGAGCCUAGGUCGGAUUAGCUAGUUGGUGGGGUAAAGGCCUACCAAGGCGACGAUCCGUAACUGGUCUGAGAGGAUGAUCAGUCACACUGGAACUGAGACACGGUCCAGACUCCUACGGGAGGCAGCAGUGGGGAAUAUUGGACAAUGGGCGAAAGCCUGAUCCAGCCAUGCCGCGUGUGUGAAGAAGGUCUUCGGAUUGUAAAGCACUUUAAGUUGGGAGGAAGGGCAGUAAGUUAAUACCUUGCUGUUUUGACGUUACCAACAGAAUAAGCACCGGCUAACUUCGU
rnacentral:rRNA from 1 species